GGGGGAGGGUGUAUAUGACAAACUCAGAGAUGAAGGUUAACAGGGAGCAGCUGCUUACCAAUUACGGCGUGAAAAACUCCCAAAGAGAUGUCAGGUGGCAAAGCUAGUUCUGCUGCUGCUUCAUUCGUGCUCAUGCUCAUUCGAAACCAACUCUUUGUGACUCCAUGGACUGUAGCCCACCAGGCUCCUCUGUCCAUGGGAUUUUCCAGGCAAGAAUACUGGAAUGGGUUGCCAUUUCCUCAUCCAGGGAAAUCUUCCAGACCCAGAGAUCGAACCUGCGUCUCCUGCAUUUAAGGUACGGGUUUGGCUUCAUCUCCAGACAUCGAUGAUUCCUCAGACCUGCUCACUUCUCUGGGCUUGCCUCUCCCUGCUCAAGCCCCAUCUCAUAUGCCUCUCCUAUUCUUCUGCUUCCUGGGGACCUCUGCAGUCAACGGUUGACUUGGAACCUCAAAAUACUAGUGACUUGGUGAGGAGAUCCAUCCACUCAUCUCAAAGAGGAAUUCAAGGCCCAGAAAAGAGCUGUGACUUGUCUGAGGUCAUCUUGGGGUCAAAGAACCAGAGCCCAGGACUCCUCCAGAUUCUUAAUCCGGAACUCAUCAUUCUUGCCCUGCAGGAUGUGGUUUCCAUCCCACAGCCCUGAAACAGACUUCCCCUGGGAUAUGGUGGUUGCCUAGGCUAAUACUUGGACGUUCUUUAGCACUGUGGGGCAAUAACCAGGGGAGACAGAGUUUGGGGAAAUGAGGAAGCAGGUGGGGGAGCCAUCCACAGGUGCUGAAAUUCCAGGAGGCUCAUAAGCACAUCGCCCUCCGUCCAUCCUGGGCAAAGCAGCAAGGACUGUCCCUUCAUUUGUCCACUCUGCCCUCACUGCCCUUUGGUGACUUCUCUUCCUCCUCUCUGCUCUUCAAGGCUGUCCUACUGCUCACUUUGGCCUGUCUCCUGAGGAGUAACAUGGUGAUGGAGCCAAUCUGUGUGAUGUGCUUGGGGGCCCACCCUUCACUGGAAAACCUCUGUUGAGUCAUAUACCCUCAAGAAUGGAAACAGAAAAUAAAAAUGAGAGACUACUCCCUGUGGAUGAUAUUAUGCGCUCCCCUGUUUCCCCUGGUCAAGCCCUCCUCCCUACCCUGGGAGGUCAGAAUAAGUCAAACAUUCCUGGGGGGGUGUGGGUGGGAGAGAGGCUCAAGAGGGAGAAGAUACAUGUAUACUUAUAGCUGAUUCACAAUGACGUACGGCAGAAACAACACAACUUAGG
ensembl:lncRNA